GUUGUUGGAAGUUCUGAUCAAAAU
rnacentral:siRNA from 1 species